rnacentral:rRNA from 1 species
CAGCAGCCGCGGUAAUACAGAGGGUGCAAGCGUUAAUCGGAAUUACUGGGCGUAAAGCGCGCGUAGGUGGUUUGUUAAGUUGAAUGUGAAAUCCCCGGGCUCAACCUGGGAACUGCAUCCAAAACUGGCAAGCUAGAGUAGGGCAGAGGGUGGUGGAAUUUCCUGUGUAGCGGUGAAAUGCGUAGAUAUAGGAAGGAACACCAGUGGCGAAGGCGACCACCUGGACUGAUACUGACACUGAGGUGCGAAAGCGUGGGGAGCAAACAGGAUUAGAUACUCGGGUAGUCCCUGUCUCUUAUAC